rnacentral:rRNA from 1 species
GAUGAACGCUGGCGGCGUGCCUAAUACAUGCGAGUCGAGCGAACAGACGAGGAGCUUGCUCCUCUGACGUUAGCGGCGGACGGGUGAGUAACACGUGGAUAACCUACCUAUAAGACUGGGAUAACUUCGGGAAACCGGAGCUAAUACCGGAUAAUAUAUUGAACCGCAUGGUUCAAUAGUGAAAGACGGUUUUGCUGUCACUUAUAGAUGGAUCCGCGCCGCAUUAGCUAGUUGGUAAGGUAACGGCUUACCAAGGCAACGAUGCGUAGCCGACCUGAGAGGGUGAUCGGCCACACUGGAACUGAGACACGGUCCAGACUCCUACGGGAGGCAGCAGUAGGGAAUCUUCCGCAAUGGGCGAAAGCCUGACGGAGCAACGCCGCGUGAGUGAUGAAGGUCUUCGGAUCGUAAAACGCUGUUAUUAGGGAAGAACAAAUGUGUAAGUAACUAUGCACGUCUGGACGGUACCUAAUCAGAAAGCCACGGCUAACUAGGU